UGUCGCUUGUGUCAGGUUGACAUAAAAUGAGCCAGCACAGCCUACCAGGCUCAAACAUAAACAGCCCCGGAUGGUGGGCAUCCGGACUCCGGGUCCCAUCGGCUCUAUCCGGCAUCGUCAUUUCCCCAGAGAGGGUGGAGGGUGAGUGGUGAGGCUCAAGCCAGGCAUUCACAUGUCUGAGGGGUGGCAAGGACAAAUGGGCGUCUCUGGAACCGAGAUGGGAUGGCCCAUGUUUAUCCUGCUGGCCAUAUGACCCUUCGUUCUUACUUCAUAACUUGGGCCUCUGUCUCACUUCAGGGGAAGUUUGCAGCUCACAGGGGGGAGCUGCUUUGUUCAGUCAGUCCAGAGGAAACAGCUCUGUGUGCCUGACACACCAUGCAGCAGGAAGCAUCUGAAGUAUGACGGAGAGGAGUGGAGAGGUGUCUUCCUUCUUAGCGAAGUCUGGAUUUCCAAGGUGUGGAACUAAAGAAUUUAAGCAUCUCACCACCAGCUUUCAACACUGUGCUUUUGUUCUAGGACAGUGUUCUGUGUGCAUUUGGGCUAAAUGAACUCCAUCUUGAAAAUGAACUUCAUUAUGCAAUUGGUUGACAACCUUCAUGGGCAGACCCGCCUUUCCACACACGGUGCCAUCCCAGGGCAGAGCCAGCUCAUCUACACUCACGGCUGGUGUGCCUAUACAUUUUUAAAUAAA
rnacentral:sRNA from 1 species